rnacentral:rRNA from 1 species
UACGAAGGGGGCUAGCGUUGUUCGGAAUUACUGGGCGUAAAGCGCACGUAGGCGGAUAUUUAAGUCAGGGGUGAAAUCCCAGAGCUCAACUCUGGAACUGCCUUUGAUACUGGGUAUCUUGAGUAUGGAAGAGGUGAGUGGAAUUCCGAGUGUAGAGGUGAAAUUCGUAGAUAUUCGGAGGAACACCAGUGGCGAAGGCGGCUCACUGGUCCAUUACUGACGCUGAGGCUCGAAAGCGUGGGGAGCAAACAGG